AUGCUGCCGCCGGAGAGGGAGAUGGCGCUAGCAAUCGGGUCGCGGCAGCUCACGGUGCUGCGGGAGUUCCGCCCGCACGGGCUCGCCGCCGAGGAGGCCGACGGCGGGGGCCCCGAGGCGCGGCCGCUGCAGGACUACGACUACUUCCUCUUCGACCCCUCUGUCGCCGCCUCCCCCGCCCCUGACCCCGAGGACGAGGCCGCCUCCUCCUCCGUCGCCGACGGCGACCACGAGCUCUUCAUACGCGGCAACCGGAUUAUAUGGAGUACUGGUUCUCGAGUUCACAAAAGAUACGCUUCUCCAAAUACAGUCAUAAUGGCCUGCUGGUGUCGUAUGGAGGCACUCAGUGAUGCCCUUCUGUGCGUUCUUCAAGUUGAUACUUUAUCUAUAUAUGAUGUAACUGGCGAGGUUGUUAGUAUUCCACUGCCAUAUGCUGUUUCAUCAAUAUGGUCUCUUCCAUUCGGUAUUCUACUUCAGAAAUCUUCUGAUGGAGGCCGCAUGGUAUCAUCCUCUAGUUCACUGCUAAAUGCACGGGAUUUAACUCGUCCUAACAAGGAAUUUGGGUUGAACUACAAUGUUGCAUGCCAAGCCCAAACGCCGGAGUCGGCCAAUAAAUCUGAUGGGACCAUUAUUUCUUCUCAUCUCAUUUUGAAACAUCCACUUGAAGUGCCUCAGGCCACAUAUUUUGAAGAAAGGAGCAGAUUAAGUAUGAUGAAAGAUUUUGAUGAAAAGACUAUAUGGACUAGUGAUAGAAUACCUCUAAUGGCAUCAUAUCAUAAAGGAAAAUUUCGGCAUUCUGUUUGGCAAGUUGAUGGUGCAACUUACCAGGAAGCAAUGGAUGAUAAUGCGAUGUUAUCAAUUCCCCGUGAUAUUUCCCAGGAUAAGUUUGCAUUUCGUAAGAUAUGGCAGGGAAAAUGCUCCCAGUCUGCUGCUAGUAAGGUGUUCUUGGCAACUGAUAUUGAUGGGAUGCCAAUAAUUUGUUUUUUACUUCAUGAACAAAAAACAUUACUUGCUGUAAGGAUUCAAGCAGAUGAGUCUAAUAAAGAAGCAUUUGGCGAUAUUAUGAGUUGGAACAUUCCUGCAUUUGCUGCUGCACCAGUUGUCGUAACUCGCCCAAGGGCACGGGUUGGACUCCUUCCCUUUACAGACAUCCUAAUUCUGACUCCUGAGAAUGAUCUACUUCUUUAUUCUGGAAAGCAGUGCCUCUGCAGCUACAGUCUUCCUACUGAAUUUGGAAAGGGUGUCUUCUCAAAUUAUGAGCUAAAUUCCGAGGUUAAAAAAUUGUACUCUAGUGUGAAGAUCACAAGCAUAGCAGAUGCUGUUGAAGGUCGUGUAAAUGUAACAUGCAGCAAUGGCCUGAUGCUCAGAUGUUCAUUACGCAAAUAUCCUUCAUCUUCUUUGGUUAGUGACUGCAUAACUGCUAUGGCAGAGGGCCUGCAGAUGUGCUUUUACAGUCAUUUUGUUUCUCUUCUCUGGGGUGAUAAUGAUCCUGCUUGCCUGUGUUCGAGCUCUCAUGUGGAUUCAGAGUGGGAAUCUUUUAGCUAUGAAAUAUCAAAAGCUUGCGCAAAAUACGAACGAACUUUGCCAACUAAAUCAUCGACAUCGUCUAGUACUGCUUGGGACUUUUUGAUCGACAGCAAAUACCAUGCUCAGUACUGCAAAAGAUCUCCAAUCUCGGGCACAUCAUUUUUGCCCAUGUCAUAUGGUACUAGCAGCAUAGGCUUUCAUUCCUUCCUCCAAGAUGAACAUAGUUCAGAUGCGGCAUUCUAUAUUGGGCUUAUGAGAGAAACUUUAGACACAUUGCAUGCCCUAUAUGAGAACCUGAAGCUGAAUGUAUUGCGGAAACAGGAUCUAGGAUGUCUUGCCUCUUUGUUAUGUAGGGUUGCUUCAUCCCUGGGCGAAAGCAGCUAUGUAGAUUAUUAUUGCAGGGACUUUCCCCACAAUUUGGUGGACUUCCAUUCCCUAGCUUCUGCUACUGCUUUGAAAACUCCACCUUGUCUGUUUCGUUGGUUUGAAAACUGUCUGCAUCAUGGUUGUCAUUUGUCGAAUUUGGAUGACAUUCCUGCUCUAAUGUGCAAACAGAAAGUCUCUGCUGUGAGCUGGGGUAGGAAAGUGGUGUCGUUUUAUAGUUUGUUACUGGGAGCAGAAAGGCAAGGGAGUAAUCUCUCAUCUGGUGUAUACUGUGAAGUUGCCAAUGGUUCAGCGAGAAAUACCGAGGAACUUGCUGUUCUGGCUAUGGUUGCUGAAAAGUUUGGGCGUCAGCAAUUGGACUUGCUACCGAUUGGCGUAUCUCUUGUUCUCCGCCAUGCACUGGACAAAUGCCGUGAGUCUCCUCCAGAUGACUGGCCUGCACCUGCUUAUGUUCUUGUGGGCAGGGAAGAUCUAGCUACAGCAAAGAUGGGUUCAGCAAGGAAAGAAACUGGGUUUGGGAACAACGAUAAUUUGACAUCAAUUUCAGUCCCAUAUAUGCUGCAUUUACAACCUGUAACUGUACCAACUUCAUCUGACGUCCCUACAUCAGAGGUUUUGAAUUCUGAGGAUACUGAUGCUGUCUAUAGAUCUGUUGAGGAUGGCAUGGAACACAUCUUCACCUCGACAACACAACUACGAUAUGGCCGUGAUCUGCGUUUAAAUGAGGUUAGAUGUCUCUUAUGCUCAGCAAGACCUGUGGCCAUACAAACAUCCACUAACCCUACUGCCUCCGAUCAGGACCUACAACAGCAACAACUAUGGAAUUUUGCACAAAGGACAACAGCUUUACCAUUUGGACGUGGUGCUUUUACUUUGGCUACAACUUACACUUUGUUGACAGAGGCUCUAGUUUUUCCAAAGAUUAUUUUGGCUGGUCGGUUGCCUGCACAGCAGAACGCAACAGUUAAUCUUGACCUAAGCACCAGAAGUGUCUCAGAAUUCAAUUCUUGGGCUGAGUUUCAUAAUGGUGUAGCUGCUGGCCUGAGGCUUGCUCCUUUUCAGGAGAAAAUGCUGAGAACCUGGAUACAAUACAAUAGACCUUCUGAACCAAAUUUUACUCAUGCUGGUCUGCUUCUAGCAUUCGGUCUGCAUGAGCAUCUACGAGUUUUAACAAUGACUGAUGCUUAUCGAUAUCUCUCCCAGGAGCAUGAUAUAACUACACUUGGUUUGUUACUUGGUUUGGCAACAUCUCAUAGGGGAACAAUGCACCCUGCAAUUUCGAAGAUGCUCUACUUCCAUGUUCCCUCUCGCCAUCCAUCUUCCACACCAGAGUUGGAACUACCAACACUUCUGCAGUCAGCAGCAGUAAUGGGAAUUGGACUUCUAUAUGAAGGUUCAGCACAUGCAUUAACCAUGAAGAUACUUCUGGGUGAGAUUGGCCGAAGGAGUGGUGGUGAUAAUGUGCUAGAAAGGGAAGGGUAUGCUGUUGCUGCAGGCUCUGCAUUAGGAUUUGUUGCCUUAGGUCGUGGAAGUGAUGCAUUUGGAUUCAUGGACACUUUUCUGGAUCGACUUUUUGAAUACAUUGGCAGUAAAGAAGUCUACCAUGAAAGAUUCCUAAAUGCAACAAUAGCCGCAGAUGAUCAAAGCGGAAACACUGGACAGAUGAUGGAUGGAUCACAGAUAAAUGUUGAUGUUACUGCACCUGGAGCAAUAAUUGCUCUAGCCCUAAUAUUUCUGAAGGCAGAGUCAGAAGAAAUUGCUGCUAGACUCAGUAUUCCCGAUACUUACUUCGAUUUGCAAUACGUGAGACCUGAUUUUGUUAUGCUUCGCAUUAUAGCCCGGAAUUUAAUAUUGUGGAGCAGAAUACAACCUUCUAUAGAUUGGAUUGGAUCUCAAAUUCCUGAAACUAUUAAAGGUGGUGUUUUCAGUAUGAGUGAAGAGGCUAUUGAUUGUGAUGAAUUUGAUGCUGAAGCCCUUUUUCAAGCUUACGUUAAUAUUGUGACAGGAGCAUGCAUUGCAAUUGGUCUGAAGUAUGCAGGCAGCAGAAACGGUGAUGCCCAAGAACUACUCUACUCAUACACUGUUAAUUUUCUCAAUGAGAUUAAACACGUAUCUGUUCGAACUCCAAGUAUAUUGCCAAAGGGAUUGCUGCAAUAUGUCGAUCGUGGAACUCUUGAGCUCUGCUUGCAUCUUAUUGCUCUCUCUCUAUCUGUGGUAAUGGCAGGGUCUGGACAUUUACAAACUUUUCGCUUGCUGCGCUAUCUUAGGGGAAGAAGUUCUGCAGAAGGACAAGUGAAUUAUGGACUGCAGAUGUCCGUAAGCUUGGCUAUAGGGUUCUUAUUCCUUGGGGGUGGCACACAUUCAUUUUCAACUUCAAACAGUGCAAUUGCUGCGCUAUUGAUCACACUUUACCCACGUUUGCCUACUGGACCAAAUGACAAUCGCUGCCAUCUCCAGGCCUUCAGACACCUGUAUGUUAUAGCUACAGAGCCUCGACGGGUUCAAACAGUAGAUGUUGAUACAGGACUUCCGGUGUAUUGCCCACUUGAAGUGACAGUUGCUGAAACAGAGUAUUAUGAUGAGACUAAUUACUGUGAGGUGACACCGUGUCUUCUGCCAGAACGCUCAGUGCUGAAGAACGUCCGAGUUUGUGGGCCUCGAUAUUGGCCUCAGCUGAUAAAAAUUACACCGGAAGACAAGCCAUGGUGGAGAUCUGGAGACAAGACUGAUCCUGAUCCAUUCAAUGGUGGAGUUCUAUAUAUAAAGCGAAAAGUUGGAUCGUGCUCCUACUCAGAUGAUCCAAUUGGAUGCCAAUCUUUGCUUUCACGGGCCAUGCAUGAGGUUUGUGACACUCCAUCUACAAGCUGCAGUACUCAACUAAACCGUGCAAGUCAUAGUUCAUUUAGAGUUGAUCAGCUAGUAAGCACAUUCUCUGCCAAUCCAAGCUUGAUAGCUUUUGCAAAACUCUGUUGCGAAUCAUGGAAGGACAGAUCUAAUGGCAAUUUUCAAGAUUUUUGCUCUCAAGUGCUGUAUGAAUGUAUGAGCAAAGAUAGGCCGUCACUUUUACAGGUCUAUAUCAGUUUUUACACAAUAGUUGAGUCGAUGUGGGAGCAUCUCAAGAUCGGGCAGUUUCCUUUCUACGACUCUCUUUUCCCUUCCAGCUUGAAGGUUGCCUUGGCCUACAGUGGAGCAUUAGUUGAUGGCAGAAUUUCAAGUGGAGGCAUAAUACAGGCCACGUUCUUGGAAUCCCUCGUAAAGCGUGUGGAUAACAUCUUUUCGGAAUUGCCGAACCUCAAGGCCAACUUUGUCCGUUACUUGGGCACAGGCAAAUGGCCGGAUGCUCAGAGGGACGCUGUGCUCCUCUCUUGGUAUCUCCAGUGGUACAGCAUCCCACCUCCCCAUGUUGUGGCAUCUGCAGUUGAAAAGAUAAAGCCCAGUGCUCCCACAGGCGUCUCCAUGCUCCCACUGCUUCGUCUCCUGCUGCCAACCACACAUCUUGUGGGGUUGAUUGAGAUUGAGAAGCUUCAGAUGAUGCCCAUGAGGAAUACAAAGAAGCAUGUCUUAUAA
rnacentral:rRNA from 1 species